GCGCCUAAUGGCAAGGCUACUUAUAUUUCAUCAUAACUACCAUAGAAAAAGUAUCGUAAAGGAGUUAUGAUAUAAU
rnacentral:sRNA from 1 species